CUCCCACCAGGACUUAAUUCAUCUACUCCAUGAAUUCUGCAGGAGAUGACACCUAUGUCCGAGCUAGAAGAACCUAAGUCAAUGGAUCUCAAUCGACAGAAGAGAUCUAAGGAACUGAACUGUCAAUAAGUAAAUAAUUUCUCCAAGUGGAAUCCCGUUGGAGAAAAUCUCCUGUAAAUCACCCCCCAACUCCUCGGAGACAAGACCAGCCAGAGACUGGAGCGUUCAUUAGAUUUUAGUGCCACCUUGUGGCA